AUUGAACGCUGGCGGCAGGCUUAACACAUGCAAGUCGAGCGGGGAAGGUUGCUUCGGUAACUGACCUAGCGGCGGACGGGUGAGUAAUGCUUAGGAAUCUGCCUAUUAGUGGGGGACAACGUUCCGAAAGGAACGCUAAUACCGCAUACGCCCUACGGGGGAAAGCAGGGGAUCUUCGGACCUUGCGCUAAUAGAUGAGCCUAAGUCGGAUUAGCUAGUUGGUGGGGUAAAGGCCUACCAAGGCGACGAUCUGUAGCGGGUCUGAGAGGAUGAGCCGCCACACUGGGAAUGAGACACGGCCCAGACUCCUACGGGAGGCAGCAGUGGGGAAUAUUGGACAAUGGGCGGAAGCCUGAUCCAGCCAUGCCGCGUGUGUGAAGAAGGCCUUUUGGUUGUAAAGCACUUUAAGCGAGGAGGAGGCUCCUUUAGUUAAUACCUAAAGAGAGUGGACGUUACUCGCAGAAUAAGCACCGGCUAACUCUGUGCCAGCCGCCGCCGUAAUAC
rnacentral:rRNA from 1 species